rnacentral:rRNA from 1 species
UACGUAGGGGGGCAAGCGUUGUCCGGAUUUAUUGGGCGUAAAGAGCUCGUAGGCGGUUUGUCGCGUCUGCCGUGAAAGUCCGGGGCUCAACUCCGGAUCUGCGGUGGGUACGGGCAGACUAGAGUGAUGUAGGGGAGACUGGAAUUCCUGGUGUAGCGGUGAAAUGCGCAGAUAUCAGGAGGAACACCGAUGGCGAAGGCAGGUCUCUGGGCAUUAACUGACGCUGAGGAGCGAAAGCAUGGGGAGCGAACAGG